rnacentral:rRNA from 1 species
AUUGAACGCUGGCGGAAUGCUUUACACAUGCAAGUCGAGCGGCAGCGCGGGGGCAACCCUGGCGGCGAGCGGCGAACGGGUGAGUAACAUAUCGGAACGUACCCCGUCGGGGGGGAUAACACAGCGAAAGCUGUGCUAAUACCGCAUACGACCUGAGGGUGAAAGCGGGGGAUCGCAAUACCUCGCGCGAUGGGAGCGGCCGAUAUCGGAUUAGCUUGUUGGUGAGGUAAAGGCUCACCAAGGCGACGGUCCGUAGCUGGUCUGAGAGGACGACCAGCCACACUGGAACUGAGACACGGUCCAGACUCCUACGGGAGGCAGCAGUGGGGAAUUUUGGACAAUGGGGGCAACCCUGAUCCAGCCAUUCCGCGUGAGUGAAGAAGGCCUUCGGGUUGUAAAGCUCUUUCGGCAGGAACGAAACGGCAGGCUCUAACAUAGCCUGUCAAUGACGGUACCUGAAGAAGAAGCACCGGCUAACUACGUGCCAGCCGCCGCCGUAA